GAUGAACGCUGGCGGCGUGCCUAAUACAUGCAAGUCGAGCGAACGGACGAGAAGCUUGCUUCUCUGAUGUUAGCGGCGGACGGGUGAGUAACACGUGGAUAACCUACCUAUAAGACUGGGAUAACUUCGGGAAACCGGAGCUAAUACCGGAUAAUAUUUUGAACCGCAUGGUUCAAAAGUGAAAGACGGUCUUGCUGUCACUUAUAGAUGGAUCCGCGCUGCAUUAGCUAGUUGGUAAGGUAACGGCUUACCAAGGCAACGAUGCAUAGCCGACCUGAGAGGGUGAUCGGCCACACUGGAACUGAGACACGGUCCAGACUCCUACGGGAGGCAGCAGUAGGGAAUCUUCCGCAAUGGGCGAAAGCCUGACGGAGCAACGCCGCGUGAGUGAUGAAGGUCUUCGGAUCGUAAAACUCUGUUAUUAGGGAAGAACAUAUGUGUAAGUAACUGUGCACAUCUUGACGGUACCUAAUCAGAAAGCCACGGCUAACUACGUACCAGCAGCCGCGGUAAUACGUAGGUGGCAAGCGUUAUCCGGAAUUAUUGGGCGUAAAGCGCGCGUAGGCGGUUUUUUAAGUCUGAUGUGAAAGCCCACGGCUCAACCGUGGAGGGUCAUUGGAAACUGGAAAACUUGAGUGCAGAAGAGGAAAGUGGAAUUCCAUGUGUAGCGGUGAAAUGCGCAGAGAUAUGGAGGAACACCAGUGGCGAAGGCGACUUUCUGGUCUGUAACUGACGCUGAUGUGCGAAAGCGUGGGGAUCAAACAGGAUUAGAUACCCUGGUAGUCCACGCCGUAAACGAUGAGUGCUAAGUGUUAGGGGGUUUCCGCCCCUUAGUGCUGCAGCUAACGCAUUAAGCACUCCGCCUGGGGAGUACGACCGCAAGGUUGAAACUCAAAGGAAUUGACGGGGACCCGCACAAGCGGUGGAGCAUGUGGUUUAAUUCGAAGCAACGCGAAGAACCUUACCAAAUCUUGACAUCCUUUGACAACUCUAGAGAUAGAGCCUUCCCCUUCGGGGGACAAAGUGACAGGUGGUGCAUGGUUGUCGUCAGCUCGUGUCGUGAGAUGUUGGGUUAAGUCCCGCAACGAGCGCAACCCUUAAGCUUAGUUGCCAUCAUUAAGUUGGGCACUCUAAGUUGACUGCCGGUGACAAACCGGAGGAAGGUGGGGAUGACGUCAAAUCAUCAUGCCCCUUAUGAUUUGGGCUACACACGUGCUACAAUGGACAAUACAAAGGGCAGCGAAACCGCGAGGUCAAGCAAAUCCCAUAAAGUUGUUCUCAGUUCGGAUUGUAGUCUGCAACUCGACUACAUGAAGCUGGAAUCGCUAGUAAUCGUAGAUCAGCAUGCUACGGUGAAUACGUUCCCGGGUCU
rnacentral:rRNA from 1 species